AGCUCAGUUGCUUGAAAGCAAUGCACCUAUUCACAUGGAGAAUCUUCCCUUUCCUCUAAAAUUACUUAGUCCCUCAUCGCUAAACACCCCCAGCUCCACACCAUGGGUGUUGGAUAUCUUCCUCACCUUGGUGUUUGCCCUGGGGUUCUUCUUCCUAUUACUCCCCUACUUAUCUUACCUCCAUUGUGACGAUCCACCCUCACCAUCGCCUGGGAAGAGAAAGUGUCAUCUUGUCUCCUCGCGUCAUCUUGUCUCCCAGUGUCCAGUAGGGCAGAGGGGGAUGCCCAGAGGCAGGAUGAAAAACCACAGUCUUCAGAGCUUGUAGAGAGUGCCUGAGAGGCCUGGAGGAGACUUGGGACCUGCUUUCACAACUGCAGAGCCUCCUAGGGCCACACCUUGAAAAAGGUGACUUUGGUCAGCUCUCCGGUCCAGACUCCCCAGGUGAGGUGGGCAAAAGAGCACCUGAUGGAGCCUCCCGGUCCUCUCAUGAGCCUAUAGAAGAUGCUGCUCCCAUUCUCUCCCUGUUAGCUUCCCCGGAUCCUUGAACCAAGCAUCCUCAGGAUCUGGCCUCCACCCCACCACCAGGCCCAAUGACCACCUCAGUCUCCUCCCUAAGUGCCUCCCAGCCACCAGAACCUUCCCUUCUCCUAGAACAUCCCUCACCCGAGCCACCUGCACUUUUCCCUCACCCACCACGCACUCCUGAUCCUCUGGCCUGCUCUCCGCCUCCUCCAAAAGGCUUCACUGCUCCUCCCCUGUGGGACUCCACUCUGAUAACUCCAUCUAACUGUGACUCAGUGGCACUUCCACUGGACACUGUCCCUCAAAGCUUGACUCCACGUGAGGAUUUGGCAGCUUCUGUCCCAGCCAUCUCAGGUCUUGGCGGCUCAAAUAGUCAAGUUUCUGCCUUCUCCUGGUGGCAGGAGACUACCAGAACCUGGUGCGUCUUCAAUUCGUCAGUCCAGCAAGAUCAUCUUUCCCGCCACCCACCAGAGACCUGUCAGAUGGAAGCUGGUAGACCAUUUUUGCUCAGCUCUGAUGGCCAGGAUGUCGUGGGGAUACAAGUCACAGAAAUCAACAUUUGAGAGGAAAAAGAAAAUGAUGGACGAUUUCCAAAACAGCCCACAAAAGCACUUGAAUGCUUUGGGGAAUUUGGUUAAAUCACUGGAUGCUGAGCAGGACACCACAAGCCCAAAACCCUUCUGGAACAUGGGAGAGAACUCAAAAUAGCUGCCCAGUCCUCAGAAGCUCUCAGAUCCUAGGCUCUUGCAGGAAAGUUUUCAGAAGAAUUAUAGCCAGCUUUUCUGGGGCCUCCCCUCUCUGCACAGUGAAUCUCUGGUGGCUAAUGCCUGGGUCACUGACUGUAUGUAAGGGUCUUACAUCCUUACAUCAAUGAAAUGUCCAAUGUCUGCCCAAUUCAAAGGGAGACUACAAUGUCCCCACUGCUUUUCCAGGCCCAGCCCCUGUCCCAUCUGGGGCCUGAGUCCCAACCCUUUAUUUCAUCCACACCCCAAUUCCGGCCCACACCUAUGGCUCAGGCCCAUCUUCAAUCCUCUUUCCCAGUCCUAUCUCCUGCUUUUCCAUCCCCGAUGAAGAACACUGGAGUAGCUUGCCCUGCGUCGCAGAAUAAAGUGCAAGCUCUCUCCCUACCUGAAACUCAGCACCCUGAAUGGCCUUUGUUGAGGAAACAACUAUAAGGUGGGUUGGCUUUACCCCCUAGGGUCCAAAAAUCUCAGGACAUCUUUAGUGUCUCCACUCCUAACCUUCCCCAGGAAAGGGGACACCCAUUCUGCCUGAGAACUUUCCAGUCAGUCCUGAACUCCAGAGCAACAUAUUGAAAAGUGGUUCAUUCAACACCAGGGCAAGAUUCAAGAGUCUCUGGAUCUGAUGCAGCUUUGGGAUGAAUUGCCAGGGAAAAGUCAGGCGAAGGGCAAACCCAGGUCCUGGCAGUCCUCCAUGUCCACAGGUGAAAGCAGCAAGGAGGCACAGAAGGUGAAGUUCCAGCUAGAGAGGGACCUGUGCCCACAUCUGGGGCAAAUUCUGGGUGAGGCCCCGCAAAAUCUAUCCAGGGGCAUAGAAAGCUUCCCAGGGAAGACUCUGGGGGUGACCUCUGAAGAGUCAGAAAGGAACUUGAGGAAGCCCUUGAGGAGUGACUCGGUAGGGAUUUAUUAAGACUCACGGACAGGAAUCAUAUAGAAAACAUCCUGAAAGCCCACAUGGGUAAGAGGUUGGGCCAGACCAACGAGGGCUUGAUCCCCGUGAGUAUGCAUCGAUCCUGGCUUGCUGUCAACCAGGCUCUUCCCGUGUCCAACACCCACAUGAAAACCAGCAAUCUAGCACCCCCCAAAAGUGGGAAAGCCUGUGUGAACACAGCCCAGGUGCUUUCCUUCCUUGAGCCAUGUACUCAACAGGUGCUGGGAGCCCACAUUUUGAGGUUUUGGGCCAAACACAGGUGGGGUCCACCCCUCAGGGUCCUCAAGCCCAUUCAGUGCUUUAAACUGGUUUCAUCCUUGUGCAAUACACAGCUUGCCGGUCCCUCCUCAGCCACCUGUGAAUCUGGGGCUGGCUCAAAAGUUGAGGUGGCCACGUUCCUUAGAAAGCCACCAAUGGCAAGUCUGAGAAAGCAGGUGCUGACCAAAGCAUCUGUUCACAUGCCAGAGAGGCUUCAGGCCUCCUCACCUGCAUGUAAGCAGUUCCAGAGGGCCCCACGAAGGAUCCCAUCUUGGAAUGAUCAUGGGUCCUUGAAGGCUCCUACAGCUGGACAGGAGGGCAGGUGGCCAUCUAAGCCCCUCACAUACAGCCUCACAGGCAGCACCCAGCAGAGCAGGAGCUUAGGAGCCCAAUCUUCAAGGGCGGGAGAGACCAGGGAGGCAGUGCCACAACCCAGAGUCCCCUUGGCAACCUGUAUGUUGGCAAACAUCCAAACCACAAGUGAGGAUGUGCGUGGUUUCGAGGCUCCAGGGGCCAGCAAAAGCUCUCUCCUCCCUAGAAUGUCUGUCUCCCAAGAUCCAAGAAAGCUGUGUCUUAGGGAGGAGGUUGUUAGUGAAUUUGAGCCUGGAAUGGCCACGAAGUCAGAGACCCAGCCUCAAGUUUCUGCCGCUGUUGUGUUCCUUCCAGAUGGGCAAGCAUCUGUUGUGCCCCAUGCUUCAGAGAAUUUGGCUUCUCAAGUGCCCCAGAGCCAUCUCCAGAGCACGCCUACUGGGAACAUGCGGGCUUCCCAGGAGCUACGUGACCUCAUGGCAGCCAGAAGGAGCAACCCGGGGCAGGGGCACAAGGAGCCCAGGAACCCAAACUGUCAAGGUUCAUGCCAGAGCCAAAGGCCAAUGUUUCCCCCUACUCACAAGAGGGAGAACCCUAGGAAGCCCAACUUAGAAAAACAUGAAGAAAUGUUUCAAGGACUGAGGACUCCUCAACUUACCCCGGGCAGGAAGACGGAAGACAGAACACACCCAUCAGAAUGAAGGCAUCCAGCUACUGCCAUCAAAGAAACAGCCUCCUUCAAUAAGCCACUUUGGAGAAAACAUCAAGCAAUUUUUUCAGAGGUUUUUAUCAGAGAAAAAAAGCAAGCCAGCACCAGUCACUGCUGAGAGCCAAAAGCCAGUAAAAAACUGAUCAUGCAUGUACAGCAGCAGUGCUGAAGCUCAGCGGCUCAUGACAGCAGUUGGACAGAUACUGGAGGAGAAAAUACCACUUUGCCAUGUGCGCCAUGCCUCGAAGGUAAAUCAGCACCAACAGCAGUUUCAAGCCCCAGUCUGUGGAUUUCCCUGCAACCACAGGCACCCCUUCUACUCAGAACACAGCAGAAUGCUGAGCUAUGCAGCCAGCAGUCAGCAAGCCACCCUCAAGAGCCAGAGUUGUCCCAUCAGAGACAGAGAAAUUGAUCAACAGACCUUGAAAAGUGUCCGGUGCAACAAUGAGGGCCUUCACUGUCCCUCUUUCUGUCAGCAUUUUAAUCACAACUGUUUAACAAGUCUCUACAAUGGUCCAAACUUUCCCUCAUCUUCCUGUCUUCUUCCAAGUCCUCCAAACUCUCCACCCUCUGGCUGUUAGCCACUUCUGAACCUGCUUUUAUAUUUUCAGCUAUCUUUGUCACAGCCUGGCAAUGUAGAAGGAAAAAAGGCCAUUUUCAGAGCAAACUUCAAGAAGACUUCAGAUAUUUGCAUUAAAAAGAAGACCAGUGUUAACAGAGAACACGGUGGGGAAAAGUCAUUGAAGGCAUUUCAUAGCUUCACUUCGCAGUACUAAUUUUCUGUAUGAUCAUAACAAAAGGGAUUUAGUUGGCUAGGCUAACUAACUCAGGAAGCCUCCCCAUCAUACCAGAAGGACAAGCAGCAAUAAAAUGUUUCAUAUGGCAGGAGUAGGAGCAAGACAGAGAGGAAAGAGAUAUCAUACCCUGUUAUACAACCAGAUCUCAUGAGAACUCAGUAUCACAAGGUCAGCAUCAAGAAGAAGGUGCUUAACCAUUGGUGAAUGAUCCACCACCCCACUCACCUCCACCCCCAACUGUUUCCAGGCAGAAAACUGAUGCAGAGGCAGAGCCACUUGGAAUACCUCUACUAGGGCAGUGCAGAAGGAACAUAUGGGCUUGAAGGCCCCAUGCAGCAGGCCAUCAUCCUAGAGACAUAGACCCACCAACAACCCACACCCUCAGUAUGGAAAAGGUACAGGCACUUAACACCAGCCCAGCCCAUGAAAGCAUCCAUGAGGGCUAAAGCCGGCAAAGCCACAGGUGCACUGUUCUAGUAGAGGUUUCCCAUGAGCCUCUGCCUCUGCAGCAGGUUACUCCCCCUUCCUACUACCCACCAGCCUCCCACCACACUACGGCCAGGCUACUCCUCCCCACCCUCCCCACCCCUUUCUCCUUACACCCCCACCCUCCUCCCAUUCAUGAUUAAAUCACCUCCCACCAGGCUUCACCACCCAAAUUUGGGAUUACAAUUUCACAUGAGUUUUUCUAGCAAAACACAGCCAAACCAUAUUAUUCCGACCUUGACCCUUCUGAAUCUCAGGUUCUUCUCACAGGGUAAAAUACAAUCAUGCCUUUUCAAAAGUU